GAUGAACGCUAGCGGAAGGCCUAAUACAUGCAAGGCGAGGGCGCAGCAAUGUGACCGUCGAACGGGUGCGUAACGCGUAUGCAACCUACCUACUACUGGGGAAUAGCCCAUGGAAACGUGGAUUAAUACCGCAUAAUACAGGGGGCCGGCAUCGGUCUAUUUGUUAAAGAUUUAUCGGUAGUAGAUGGGCAUGCGUCUGAUUAGUUAGUUGGGGGGGUAACGGCCCACCAAGACGAUGAUCAGUAGGGGAGCUGAGAGGUUGAUCCCCCACAUGGGCACUGAGAUACGGGUCCAACUCCUACGGGAGGCAGCAGUAGGGAAUAUUGGGCAAUGGAUGCAAGUCUGACCCAGCCAUUCCGCGUGCCGGAUGAAGGCCCUCAGGGUCGUAAACGGCUUUUGAAUGGGAAGAAUAGUUACCAUGCGUGGUAAAGUGACGGUACCAUUCGAAUAAGCACCGGCUAACUCC
rnacentral:rRNA from 1 species